UACGAAGGGGGCUAGCGUUGUUCGGAAUCACUGGGCGUAAAGCGCACGUAGGCGGAUUCUUAAGUCAGGGGUGAAAUCCCGAGGCUCAACCUCGGAACCGCCUUUGAUACUGGGAUCUCGUAGUCGGCGGAGAGGUGAGUGGAAUUGCGAGUGUAGAGGUGAAAUUCGUAGAUAUUCGCAAGAACACCAGUGGCGAAGGCGGCUCACUGGCCCGGUACUGACGCUGAGACGCGAAAGCGUGGGGAGCGAACAGG
rnacentral:rRNA from 1 species